rnacentral:rRNA from 1 species
AUCGAGCAAGCCUAAGCCGAUAGGCGUAAGCGUAGCGAAAGCGAGUCUGAAUAGGGCGUUUUAGUUGGUCAUGGUAGACGCGAAACCGUGUGAUCUACCCUUGGGCAGGUUGAAGCUUUGUUAACCCAAAGUGGAGGACCGAACCCGUUGACGUUGAAAAGUCUUGGGAUGACCUGAGGGUAGGGGUGAAAGGCCAAUCAAACUGGGAAAUAGCUCGUACUCCCCGAAA